rnacentral:rRNA from 1 species
ACUGCUCACUAACACGUCAAUAAUCUAACUUUAGGUCUUGGAUAACCUCGGAAAACUGAGACUAACACAAGAUAGGGGAAAUUACUGCAAUGUUUUUUCUCUGAAACUCGUGCCUAAAGAUGAGUUGGCGGCCGAUUACGUAGUUGGUAAGGUAACGGCUUACCAAGCCGAAGAUCGGUAAGGGCCUUGAGAGAGGUUGCCCUGAGAAGGACACUGAAAUACUGGUCCUAGCCCUACGGGGUGCAGCAGGCGCGAAAACUCUACACUACACGAAAGUGUGAUAGGGGAACUCCAAGUGCAUUACUUUUUGUAAUGCUUUUGCCAAGAUUAAAAAUCUUGGCGAAUAAGUGGUGGGUAAGACUGGUGCCAGCCGCCGCGGUAACACCAGCGCCACAAGUGGUGAUCACAUUUAUUGGGCCUAGAGCGUCCGUAGCCGGCCUUGUAAAUCUUUUGUGAAAUUGUUAGGCUUAACUUAACAACGUGCAUAAGACACUGCAAGGCUUGGAACUGGGAGGGGUUAGGAGUAUUCUUGGGGUAACGGUAAAACACGUUCACCAACGUUCACUUGCUGUGAACGCUGGCGCGUUUACAGUGUUAUAAUCCUUACAAGACUACCUGUGGCGAAUGCGCCUAACCAGAACAGAUUCGACGGUGAGGGACGAAAGCUAGGGGAGCAAAACGGAUUAUAUCGACCUUUUGCAAAAACGUCGAUGAAAAGCAUGCAAUGUGGAAUCUGAAGAUUCCACGGAACGAUUACUCUUUGCUUAUAUGAACUACGAGUAAUUUGUGUGUGAUUUAGCGAAUAAAAUGGCACAAGAUGUCCUAAAUACCCGAGUAGUCCUAGCUGUAACGCUGUGAGCAAGAUGUUGCAUAUUCUUAGUGAAUAUGCAGUGCCGA